GACGAACGCUGGCGGCGUGCUUAACACAUGCAAGUCGAACGGAAAGGCCCUGCUUUUGUGGGGUGCUCGAGUGGCGAACGGGUGAGUAACACGUGAGUAACCUGCCCUUGACUUUGGGAUAACUUCAGGAAACUGGGGCUAAUACCGGAUAGGAGUUCCUGCUGCUUGGGGGGGGUGGGAAAGUUUCGGCGGUUGGGGAUGGACGCGCGGCUUAUCAGCUGGUUGGUGGGGUAGUGGCUUACCAAGGCUUUGACGGGUAGCCGGCCUGAGAGGGUGACCGGCCACAUUGGGACUGAGAUACGGCCCAGACUCCUACGGGAGGCAGCAGUGGGGAAUAUUGCACAAUGGGCGGAAGCCUGAUGCAGCAACGCCGCGUGCGGGAUGACGGCCUUCGGGUUGUAAACCGCUUUCGCCUGUGACGAAGCGUGAGUGACGGUAAUGGGUAAAGAAGCACCGGCUAACUACGUG
rnacentral:rRNA from 1 species